UAUGUGAUGCUAUCUCCAAUACAUUCCGGGGAUGUCAUCAUAGAUGGUGUAGUAGACAUCUAUAUCAAAAUUUCAAGUCACUGCAUCCUGGUGUAUUGUUGAGAAAGCAUUUUUGGAGGGUAGCAAAGGCAUCAAAUCAGUUUUACUUUGACAAAGCAAUGAAUGACAUGAAAGCCACCAAAAAAGAAGCUUUUGAUUGGCUGAGUAGGAAUACUCCAAAUAUGUGGGCAAGGCAUUUCAGCUGCAAAUCUGAUCAUAUCACUAAUAGUAUGACAGAAUCAUUUAACCAGUGGAUUGGACUGUAUAGAGGAAAACCAAUACUAACUUUGAUUGAUGAGAUCAAGAAGAAACUGAUGAACAAGAUGUAACAAAGAUAUCAGUUGGGAUGUAGCUUUAAGGGUAGAGUCUCACUAAAGAUCAAAACUAAAUUGGCUGUGCUAACCACUGAAGCUAGGGAGUGCACGGUCCUUACUGCUGGAAUAGAUGAAUCUGAAGUCACAGAUAGUGAUGGGAUAUAUGUGGUUGAUUUAAGGAAGCAUACUUGUGGGUGGACUAUUCUGGACUGCAAUGCAAGCAUGCAGUCGCUUGUGUAAAAUAUAAGAGAGAGAACUUGGAAAAGUACUCUGAUGAGUACUACAGUAUGGCAAAGUACAUGGCAGCUUACUAGGACAUUUCAUGCAAUGCCUGGUCUAGAUGAGUUAAAAGGAGGAACACUUGAUGGGGAUUGUUCAACCUCUACCUUUAAAAAGGUUGGUUGGUGGACCAACUAAGUGUAGGAGAAAGGCACCAGGUGAAGAACCAUCAGGAGAGUUUAGAAGAAAAUCCUGUACCAUCAGGUGUAGUACAUGCAGGUCCACUGGGCACAAUGUGAGGAGAUGUAAAGGAACCCCAGUGAUAGACAAAGCUGCUUCUUCUGGGAAGACAGUCGGGACAAAGAGGAAGGAAAGAAGUAUGAGAAGCCAAUCUACCAUCAACAAUUCAUAGGUAUUGACCAGGUCAAAAGCUUCCACUACCACUACUGAAGUGAACAUACAGUUGAAGAUCAAAGCACAGUUGAAAUCGAAAGACGAGAAAAGAAAAGCACGGGAAGCGCGAAAAAAAGCAAUGAAAGAAGGGAGCACAUCUGGAGCGCAAUGAGAAGGUGGAAGGCUGAUGUGGUUUUUGAUGUUUUUUGGGAGAUGUUAAACUUGGUGUCAGUUCUUGAAUCAUUGGCUGAUGUGGUUUUUGAUGUUUUGGGGAGAUGUUAAACUUAUAUGUUUGUUAGAGAAGUUAAAUUUAUAUGUUUAUAUAUGAUUGCAUUAUCAGGUACAUUUUGGAAUGUCAAACAUAGGGGCAAAA